GACAGAGGGUGCAAACGUUGCUCGGAAUUACUGGGCGUAAAGCGUGCGUAGGCGGUUCGUUAAGUCCGUUGUGAAAGCCCUGGGCUCAACCUGGGAAUGGCAGUGGAUACUGGCGAGCUAGAGUGUGAUAGAGGAUGGUGGAAUUCCCGGUGUAGCGGUGAAAUGCGUAGAGAUCGGGAGGAACACCAGUGGCGAAGGCGGCCAUCUGGAUCAACACUGACGCUGAGGCACGAAAGCGUGGGGAGCAAACAGG
rnacentral:rRNA from 1 species